GAUGAACGCUAGCUACAGGCUUAACACAUGCAAGUCGAGGGACCGGCGCACGGGUGAGUAACACGUAUCCAACCUGCCCUUUACUCGGUGAUAGCCUUUCGAAAGAAAGAUUAAUACCCGAUAGAAUGGAUGGGGAUGCGUUCCAUUAGGUUGUGGGUAAGGGAACGGCUAACCAAGCCUUCGCUGGAUAGGUGUUCUGAGAGCAAGGUCCACGAGAUUGGAACUAAGACACGGUCCAAGAUCGUACGCGGGGCAGGAGAGUGGAAUAUUGGUGAAUGAGCGCUAGCCUGACCAUGCCAAGUAGAGUAAAGGAUGAAUGUUUAUGGGACGUAUUCUAGUUUUAUAUAAGAAUAGGUAUUAUAUGAAUAAGGAUCGGCUAACUCCGUGCCAGCAGCCGCGGUAAUUC
rnacentral:rRNA from 1 species